UGCAUAUAUACCAUCCUCUCCCCCACCGUUACAUCACAGAACAAGCAUUAGGAUUCUCAUCACUGAAGAUCUGCGGCGUAUAAGCAUUAUACUCCACCAUCCUAGGGUAGUAGUAAUACACGAGCUCGUUCCUUCUCAGCUCCGGCUUGCCGUCGGCGAUAGCCGCCGCAACAGCCGCCGCCGCUGCCUCCUCCGGUGAUCCCUCAUCCUUCUUCUCCUUCUCGUCACCGCCCUCCGCCUUCUUCUCCCCCUCUGCCUCAGGUUUGGUAUCAGCCUUAGCCUCCUCCUUCCCCUUCUCCUUCUCCGCCGGCUCCUCCGGCUUCGCCGCCGGCUCCUGCUUCACUACCACGGCGUGCUUGCCGGACUUCUUGUAAAUAUACUCUACCAGCUUCGCCGGCUCAAACACUCCUUUCACCGUCACCUGCG
rnacentral:misc_RNA from 1 species